GAUUCAUAAUAACUUAACGAAUCGCAUGGCCUUGCGCCGGCGAUGGUUCAUUCAAAUUUCUGCCCUAUCAACUUUCGAUGGUAGGAUAGUGGCCUACCAUGGUCUCAACGGGUAACGGGGAAUUAGGGUUCUAUUCCGGAGAGGGAGCCUGAGAAACGGCUACCACAUCCAAGGAAGGCAGCAGGCGCGCAAAUUACCCAAUCCCAAUUCGGGGAGGUAGUGACAAUAAAUACUGAUACGGGGCUCUUUUGGGUCUCGUAAUUGGAAUGAGUACAAUCUAAAUCCCUUAACGAGGAACAAUUGGAGGGCAAGUCUGGUGCCAGCAGCCGCGGUAAUUCCAGCUCCAAUAGCGUAUAUUAAAGUUGUUGCCGUUAAAAAGCUCGUAGUUGAACCUUGGCCCUGGCUGAUCUGUCCUCCUAAUCGAGCGCACGGAUUCGGUCGGGGCUUUCCUUCUGGGGAGCCCUAUGCCCUUCAUUGGGUGUAGUGGGGAACCAGGACUUUUAC
rnacentral:rRNA from 1 species